rnacentral:rRNA from 1 species
CCGAAUAGGGGAGCCGAAGGGAAACCGAGUCUUAACCGGGCGUUAAGUUGCAGGGUAUAGACCCGAAACCCGGUGAUCUAGCCAUGGGCAGGUUGAAGGUUGGGUAACACUAACUGGAGGACCGAACCGACUAAUGUUGAAAAAUUAGCGGAUGACUUGUGGCUGGGGGUGAAAGGCCAAUCAAACCGGGAGAUAGCUGGUUCUCCCCGAAAGCUAUUUAGGUAGCGCCUCGUGAAUUCAUCUCCGGGGGUAGAGCACUGUUUCGGCAAGGGGGUCAUCCCGACUUACCAACCCGAUGCAAACUGCGAAUACCGGAGAAUGUUAUCACGGGAGACACACGGCGGGUGCUAACGUCCGUCGUGAAGAGGGAAACAACCCAGACCGCCAGCUAAGGUCCCAAAGUCAUGGUUAAGUGGGAAACGAUGUGGGAAGGCCCAGACAGCCAGGAUGUUGGCUUAGAAGCAGCCAUCAUUUAAAGAAAGCGUAAUAGCUCACUGGUCGAGUCGGCCUGCGCGGAAGAUGUAACGGGGCUAAACCAUGCACCGAAGCUGCGGCAGCGACACUGUGUGUUGUUGGGUAGGGGAGCGUUCUGUAAGCCUGUGAAGGUGUGCUGUGAGGCAUGCUGGAGGUAUCAGAAGUGCGAAUGCUGACAUAAGUAACGAUAAAGCGGGUGAAAAGCCCGCUCGCCGGAAGACCAAGGGUUCCUGUCCAACGUUAAUCGGGGCAGGGUGAGUCGACCCCUAAGGCGAGGCCGAAAGGCGUAGUCGAUGGGAAACAGGUUAAUAUUCCUGUACUUGGUGUUACUGCGAAGGGGGGACGGAGAAGGCUAUGUUGGCCGGGCGACGGUUGUCCCGGUUUAAGCGUGUAGGCUGGUUUUCCAGGCAAAUCCGGAAAAUCAAGGCUGAGGCGUGAUGACGAGGCACUACGGUGCUGAAGCAACAAAUGCCCUGCUUCCAGGAAAAGCCUCUAAGCAUCAGGUAACAUCAAAUCGUACCCCAAACCGACACAGGUGGUCAGGUAGAGAAUACCAAGGCGCUUGAGAGAACUCGGGUGAAGGAACUAGGCAAAAUGGUGCCGUAACUUCGGGAGAAGGCACGCUGAUAUGUAGGUGAAGUCCCUCGCGGAUGGAGCUGAAAUCAGUCGAAGAUACCAGCUGGCUGCAACUGUUUAUUAAAAACACAGCACUGUGCAAACACGAAAGUGGACGUAUACGGUGUGACGCCUGCCCGGUGCCGGAAGGUUAAUUGAUGGGGUCAGCGCAAGCGAAGCUCUUGAUCGAAGCCCCGGUAAACGGCGGCCGUAACUAUAACGGUCCUAAGGUAGCGAAAUUCCUUGUCGGGUAAGUUCCGACCUGCACGAAUGGCGUAAUGAUGGCCAGGCUGUCUCCACCCGAGACUCAGUGAAAUUGAACUCGCUGUGAAGAUGCAGUGUACCCGCGGCAAGACGGAAAGACCCCGUGAACCUUUACUAUAGCUUGACACUGAACAUUGAGCCUUGAUGUGUAGGAUAGGUGGGAGGCUUUGAAGUGUGGACGCCAGUCUGCAUGGAGCCGACCUUGAAAUACCACCCUUUAAUGUUUGAUGUUCUAACGUGGACCCGUGAUCCGGGUUGCGGACAGUGUCUGGUGGGUAGUUUGACUGGGGCGGUCUCCUCCUAAAGAGUAACGGAGGAGCACGAAGGUUGGCUAAUCCUGGUCGGACAUCAGGAGGUUAGUGCAAUGGCAUAAGCCAGCUUGACUGCGAGCGUGACGGCGCGAGCAGGUGCGAAAGCAGGUCAUAGUGAUCCGGUGGUUCUGAAUGGAAGGGCCAUCGCUCAACGGAUAAAAGGUACUCCGGGGAUAACAGGCUGAUACCGCCCAAGAGUUCAUAUCGACGGCGGUGUUUGGCACCUCGAUGUCGGCUCAUCACAUCCUGGGGCUGAAGUAGGUCCCAAGGGUAUGGCUGUUCGCCAUUUAAAGUGGUACGCGAGCUGGGUUUAGAACGUCGUGAGACAGUUCGGUCCCUAUCUGCCGUGGGCGCUGGAGAACUGAGGGGGGCUGCUCCUAGUACGAGAGGACCGGAGUGGACGCAUCACUGGUGUUCGGGUUGUCAUGCCAAUGGCACUGCCCGGUAGCUAAAUGCGGAAGAGAUAAGUGCUGAAAGCAUCUAAGCACGAAACUUGCCCCGAGAUGAGUUCUCCCUGACCCUUUAAGGGUCCUGAAGGAACGUUGAAGACGACGACGUUGAUAGGCCGGGUGUGUAAGCGCAGCGAUGCGUUGAGCUAACCGGUACUAAUGAACCGUGAGGCUUAACCUUACAACGCCGAAGGUGUUU